rnacentral:rRNA from 1 species
UAAACUUUGAUCCGAAGAUUUCCGAAUGAGGAAACUCACUUAGAGUAAUGUCUAAGUAUCAUUAAGUGAAUACAUAGCUUAAUGAGGGGAACUCAGGGAACUGAAACAUCUAAGUACCUGAAGGAAGAGAAAGAAAUUCGAUUCCGUAAGUAGCGGCGAGCGAACGCGGAUUAGCCCAAACCAAUAAAGUUUUCUUUAUUGGGGUUGCGGACAUAUCAUAACGAAGAGAUAUCGUAAUUGAAGAGGUUUGGAAAGACCCACCACAGAAGGUAAUAGUCCUGUAUGUUAAACGAGAAGACUUUAGAUAUGAUCCAGAGUACCACGGGACACGUGAAACCCUGUGGGAAGCAGGAGGGACCACCCUCCAAGGCUAAAUACUACCUAGUGACCGAUAGCGUAUAGUACCGUGAGGGAAAGGUGAAAAGAACCCCGGGAGGGGAGUGAAAUAGAACCUGAAACCCUGCACUUACAAGCUGUGGAAGCACAUUUCUUGUGUGACCGCGUACUUUUUGUAGAACGGGCCAACGAGUUACGUUAAGUAGCAAGGUUAAGCACUUAAGGUGUGGAGCCGUAGCGAAAGCGAGUUUUAACUGAGCGUUCAGUUACUUGACGUAGACCCGAAACCGGGCGACCUACCCAUGAGCAGGAUGAAGCGAAAGUAAAAUUUCGUGGAGGUCCGAACCCACGAGCGUUGAAAAGCUCGGGGAUGACUUGUGGGUAGCGGUGAAAUUCCAAUCGAGCCCGGAGAUAGCUGGUUCUCCCCGAAAUAGCUUUAGGGCUAGCCUCAAGGUGAGAGAUACGGAGGUAGAGCACUGAAUGUCCUAGGGGGUAUUGCACCUACCGAAGACUAUCAAACUCCGAAUGCCGUCAUCUUAUACUUGGGAGUCAGACUGUGGGUGAUAAGAUUCAUAGUCGAAAGGGCAACAGCCCAGAUCGUCAGCUAAGGUCCCUAAAUGUAAGUUAAGUGGUAAAGGAUGUGGGAUUGCACAGACAACCAGGAUGUUGGCUUAGAAGCAGCCACUCAUUCAAAGAGUGCGUAAUAGCUCACUGGUCGAGUGAUCCUGCGCCGAAGAUUUCCGGGGCUAAAACUUACUACCGAAGCUACGGCAUCAGUAAUGAUGGGUAGGGGAGCUUCCCAUACGGGUUGAAGCAUGACCGUAAGGACAUGUGGACAGUAUGGGAGUGAGAAUGUUGGCAUGAGUAGCGAGAUGUGGGUGAGAAUCCCACAGGCCG